AUUGAACGCUGGCGGAAUGCUUUACACAUGCAAGUCGAACGGCAGCACGGGGGCAACCCUGGUGGCGAGUGGCGAACGGGUGAGUAAUACAUCGGAACGUGCCCAGUCGUGGGGGAUAACGUAGCGAAAGCUACGCUAAUACCGCAUACGAUCUCUGGAUGAAAGCGGGGGACCGCAAGGCCUCGCGCGAUUGGAGCGGCCGAUGGCAGAUUAGGUAGUUGGUGGGGAAAGGCUCACCAAGCCGACGAUCGGUAGCUGGUCUGAGAGGACGAUCAGCCACACUGGGACUGAGACACGGCCCAGACUCCUACGGGAGCAGCAGUAAGGAAUAUUGGUCAAUGGACGCAAGUCUGAACCAGCCAUGCCGCGUGAAGGAUGAAGGCCCUC
rnacentral:rRNA from 1 species